rnacentral:rRNA from 2 species
GGCGAUCAGAUACCGCCCUAGUUCUAACCGUAAACGAUGACAACCAGCGAUUAAUCGGCGUUAAUAUACGACCCGAUUAGCAGCUUCCGGGAAACCAAAGUUUUUCGUUUCCGGGGGAAGUAUGGUUGCAAAGCUGAAACUUAAAGGAAUUGACGGAAGGGCACCACCAGGAGUGGAGCCUGCGGCUUAAUUUGACUCAACACGGGAAAACUCACCCGGCCCGGACACUGUAAGGAUUGACAGACUGAGAGCUCUUUCUUAAUUCAGUGGGUGGUGGUGCAUGGCCGUUCUUAGUUGGUGGAGCGAUUUGUCUGGUUAAUUCCGAUAACGAACGAGACUCUGGCCUAUUAAAUAGACGAGAUAUCUUUAAGUAUCUCGCGCUUCUUAGAGGGACAAGCGGCGUCUAGUCGCAUGAAAAAGAGCAAUAACAGGUCUGUGAUGCCCUUAGAUGUCCGGGGCUGCACGCGCGCUACACUGAAAGAAUCAGUGGGCGUUUUACCUGGUUCGGAAGAACCGGGUAACCCAAGUAAUUUCUUUCGUGCUUGGGAUAGGGAAUUGCAAUUAUUUCCCUUAAACGAGGAAUUCCCAGUAAACGCGGGUCAUAAGCUCGUGUUGAUUACGUCCCUGCCCUUUGUA